AGGGGAGCCGGAGGGAAACCGAGUCUUAACCGGGCGUUAAGUUGCAGGGUAUAGACCCGAAACCCGGUGAUCUAGCCAUGGGCAGGUUGAAGGUUGGGUAACACUAACUGGAGGACCGAACCGACUAAUGUUGAAAAAUUAGCGGAUGACCUGUGGCUGGGGGUGAAAGGCCAAUCAAACCGGGAGAUAGCUGGUUCUCCCCGAAAGCUAUUUAGGUAGCGCCUCGUGAAUUCAUCUCCGGGGGUAGAGCACUGUUUCGGCUAGGGGGCCAUCCCGGCUUACCAACCCGAUGCAAACUGCGAAUACCGGAGAAUGUUAUCACGGGAGACACACGGCGGGUGCUAACGUCCGUCGUGAAGAGGGAAACAACCCAGACCGCCAGCUAAGGUCCCAAAGUCAUGGUUAAGUGGGAAACGAUGUGGGAAGGCCCAGACAGCCAGGAUGUUGGCUUAGAAGCAGCCAUCAUUUAAAGAAAGCGUAAUAGCUCACUGGUCGAGUCGGCCUGCGCGGAAGAUGUAACGGGGCUAAACCAU
rnacentral:rRNA from 1 species